rnacentral:rRNA from 1 species
UACGUAGGGGGCAAGCGUUGUCCGGAUUUAUUGGGCGUAAAGAGCGUGUAGGCGGCCAGACAGGCCCGUUGUGAAAACUUGAGGCUCAACCUCGAGACGCCGAUGGAAACCGUCUGGCUAGAGUCCGGAAGAGGAGAGUGGAAUUCCUGGUGUAGCGGUGAAAUGCGCAGAUAUCGGGAGGAACACCCGUAGCGAAGGCGGCUCACUGGCCCGGAACUGACGCUGAGGUGCGAAAGCGUGGGGGGCAAACAGG